UAUAGCGUGGCCGAGCGGUCUAUGGUGCCUGCCUGUUUAUCAGAGGUGUGGGUUCGAAUCUCACCGCUGCAA